CCUCCUCGAUUUGCUGUGGGCAAAUCCAAUGAAUAUGACUAUCAAUGCCACCGGCAGUGAGAAUCAUGCCUUCACCAGCAAUAAUCUCGGUACCGGCACCAAUAGGAAUAGUCACGUUAGGUUGAAUAUCUGGAUUACCGGCUUUGCCUAUUUGCCAGAUAUGGCCAUCUUUAAGUCCUACAUCGGCUUUGAUAAUGCCGGUGACUGCAUCAAUAAUCAGUGCGUUAGUGAUGACGGUAUCCGCGACCUCUGCUGCAGGCAGUUGUGAUUGGCCCAUGCCAUCGCGAAU
rnacentral:sRNA from 1 species